CCCGCUGAACUUAAGCAUAUCAAUAAGCGGAGGAAAAGAAACUAACAAGGAUUCCCCUAGUAACUGCGAGUGAGGCGGGAAAAGCUCAAAUUUAAAAUCUGGCGGUCUUGCAGCCGUCCGAGUUGUAAUCUGGAGAAGCGUUUAUCCGCGUCGGACCGUGUACAAGUCUUCUGGAAGGGAGCGUCGUAGAGGGUGAGAAUCCCGUCUUUGACACGGACAACCGGUGCUUUUGUGAUGCGCUCUCGAAGAGUCGAGUUGUUUGGGAAUGCAGCUCAAAAUGGGUGGUAAAUUCCAUCUAAAGCUAAAUAUUGGCGAGAGACCGAUAGCGAACAAGUACCGUGAGGGAAAGAUGAAAAGCACUUUGGAAAGAGAGUUAAACAGUACGUGAAAUUGUUGAAAGGGAAACGUUUGAAGUCAGUCGCGUCGGCCGAGACUCAACCUUGCUUCUGCUCGGUGCACUUCUCGGUUGACGGGUCAGCAUCAAUUUCGCCUCUCGGAUAAUGGCGAGGGAAAAGUGACACCUUUACGGUGUGUUAUAGUCUCUCGUCGCAUGCGAGGGUCGGGAUUGAGGGACUCAGCACGCGCCCUCGGGCGUCGGGGCUUUCGCCCACGAUACGUGCUUAGGAUGUUGGCGUAAUGGCUUUAAACGACCCGUCUUGAAACACGG
rnacentral:rRNA from 1 species